GGAGAAGCUUAUUGCGAAGCAACGAGUAUUCCAGAGCCUUAAAGGACCCGUACAUCUGAGAGGCCCAAGUGAUAAAAUCACUUCAGUGGCCAUUCCCCUGGCAAUGACAGUUACUUCUGUAGUUCUCAUUGUACGAGGGAUCUAUGAUAUGUCUCAGAAUAUCGGAAAGAAAGAAGCGUGAGGCAUCUGCAAAUACUUGACGGUGACCUCACAAGUUUUGCAUUUGGAUAACCAUCUACAAAUAAUGGGUACCAGUGCCACUGAUGGAUGAUUCCGGGUAUGCUGUCUUUUUUACUCUGUAAUAAUUUCACAUGAAUUCUGGAUUUUGGAUGAUAUGGUUGAAAGUUCCUGUAUUCCCAGCC